UACAGAGACUGCAAGCGUUAUUCGGAUUCACUGGGCGUAAAGGGUGCGCAGGCGGCCGAGUGUGUGAGGCGUGAAAGCCCGGGGCUUAACCCCGGAAUUGCACCUCAAACUACACGGCUAGAGCAUUGGAGAGGGUAGCAGAAUUCACGGUGUAGCAGUGAAAUGCGCAGAUAUCGGGAGGAACACCAAUGGCGAAGGCAGCUCGCUGGGACGGUACUGACGCUGAGACGCGAAAGCGUGGGGAGCAAACAGG
rnacentral:rRNA from 1 species